rnacentral:rRNA from 1 species
GAAAGUAAAGAAGGGCGCAUGGCGGAUGCCUUGGCUCUCGGAGGCGAUGAAGGACGUGAUAAGCUGCGAUAAGCUCCGGGGAGGUGCAAAUAACCUUUGAUCCGGGGAUUUCCGAAUGGGACAACCCGGCGUGUUGAAGACACGCCACCUGAUCAUUUCAGGAGCUAACGCAGGGAACUGAAACAUCUUAGUACCUGCAGGAAAAGAAAAUAACAAUGAUUCCCCCAGUAGUGGCGAGCGAACGGGGAAUAGCCCAAACCGUUCAUGUUACGGCAUGAUCGGGGUUGUAGGACUACGUCGUUGCAUGAAGACAUCGGAGAAGAACUUUCUGGAAAGGAAGACCAUAGAGCAUGACAGUUGCGUAUUCGUAUGUUGUCGAAGCAUAGUAGUAUCCUGAGUAGCGCGGAGCACGAGGAAUUCUGCGUGAAUCUGCCGGGACCAUCCGGUAAGGCUAAAUACUCCCGAGAGACCGAUAGCGAACCAGUACCGUGAGGGAAAGGUGAAAAGCACUUCGAACAGAAGAGUGAAAUAGUUCCUGAAACCGUGCGCCUACAAGCGGUCGGAGCUGCUUAAAGCAGUGACGGCGUGCCUUUUGCAUAAUGAACCUACGAGUUGCCUUUGCCGGCAAGGUUAAGUGUGACGACACACGUAUCCGAAGCGAAAGCGAGUCUGAAUAGGGCGCAUAGUCGGCAGUGGCAGACGCGAAACCAAGUGAUCUACCCUUGGCCAGGUUGAAGGCUGGGUAACACCAGCUGGAGGACCGCACCAAUAAGCGUUGAAAAGCUUCUGGAUGAGCUGAGGGUAGGGGUGAAAGGCUAAUCAAACUUGGAGAUAGCUCGUACUCCCCGAAAUGCAUUUAGGUGCAGCCUUGUGGGUUACUGAUGUGAGGUAGAGCGACUGAUAAGAUGCGAGGGCUUCACCGCCUAUCAAGUCUUGACAAACUCCGAAUGCGCAUCAGUUUUACCUCAGGAGUGAGGGCAUGGGUGCUAAGGUCCGUGCCCGAGAGGAGAAGAAUCCGGACCACCUGCUAAGGUCCCGAAAUGACAGCUAAGUUAAACUAACGAAGUCUGACUGCUAAGACAGCUAGGAUGUUGGCUUGGAAGCAGCCAUUCAUUUAAAGAGUGCGUAACAGCUCACUAGUCGAGGAGUCUGGCGUGGAUAAUAAUCGGGUAUUAAGUUGUCUACCGAAGCAGUGGGAUCAUUGAAAUGAUCGGUAGGGGAGCAUUCCAGUCAGCGUCGAAGGCGUACCGCGAGGUAUUCUGGAGCGUCUGGAAAAGCAAAUGUAGGUAUAAGUAACGAUAAAGGGGGCGGGAAACCCCCUCGCCGAAAGACUAAGGUUUCCUGAUCAACGCUAAUCGGAUCAGGGUAAGUCGGGUCCUAAGGCUCAGCCGAAGGGCGAUGCCGAUGGCAGAAACGGUUAAUAUUCCGUUACUACCUCCAGGAGUGAUGUGGAGACGCAGUAGUGACAAUGCCGCCAUCUGACGGAAUAGAUGGUUGAAGGGUGUAGAUGUUGAUCUUGGCAGGCAAAUCCACCAUGAGAAUCGAACCUGAUAGUAUGCCGCGUCCCUCGGGACAAGGCAAUAGUGCAUGUAAUCAUGCUGCCAAGAAAAUCCGCUAAACAAAAUCCUGUAGGUACCCGUACCGUAAACGGACACACGUAGUCGGGAUGAAUAUUCUAAGGCGCUUGAGUGAUUCACGGUUAAGGAACUAGGCAAACUGACCCUGUAACUUCGGGAUAAAGGGUCCCUACCCGGUGACGGGAGGGCGCAGAGAAUAGGUCCAGGCAACUGUUUAACAAAAACACAGGGCUGUGCUAAAUCGAAAGAUCCUGUAUACAGCCUGACACCUGCCCGGUGCUGGAAGGUUAAGAGGAGACGUCAUCGUUGAGAGAAGCGUUGAAUUGAAGCCCCAGUAAACGGCGGCCGUAACUAUAACGGUCCUAAGGUAGCGAAAUUCCUUGUCGGGUAAGUUCCGACCUGCACGAAUGGUGUAAUGAUCUGGACGCUGUCUCAACCGUGAGCU